AAACCAAGCGUUGCGAUUGGCUGGAGUCUUGAUCAAUUAGGCGCUAAUUGCGAGCGUACGUUAAGAAGCCUUCUUCGUCGUCCUGUCUCAAACCUCACAGACACACAGUUCCAAAAAGGAACAAGGGGACUAGAGACAUUCCAGACGCCGACGCAGCAGACCGAGUUGCCAAAUGUCGGAUGCGGGUGAGUACUGUUGCUUCGUUGGGAGCCUUUCCUGGUCCACUACUGAAGUAGGUCUCAAAGAUGCCUUUGGGAAAUUUGGCCGUCUGACUGAGGCAAAGGUGGUUCUUGACAAGUUAUCCGGCCGAUCACGUGGCUUUGGCUUUGUGACUUUUGAUGACAAGAAGGCCAUGAAAGAAGCAAUUGAGGCGAUGAAUGGUAUGGAUCUGGAUGGAAGGAAUAUCACUGUUGAAAGAGCCCAGCCUCAAAGUUCAGGCAGGGACCAUGAUGGGGAUCGAGAUUAUAGUCGUGGUGGCAGUGAUCGUGACCGCUACCGUGGUGACUAUGGCCGUGGUCGUGACCGUGGUCGUGAUUUUGGUGGAGGUCGUGGUGGCGGCGGCGAUUGCUUCAAAUGUGGCAAGCCUGGCCAUUUUGCGAGGGAAUGCCCUUCUGAUGAUGGUGGCAGAGGGGACAGGUACGGUAGCAGGGGUGACAGGUAUGGUGGCAGCAGUGCAAGCAGCCGCUAUGGUCCUGAUCGUGGUGGUGAUCGCUAUUCUGGGAGCCGUGAUGGAGGAAGCCGCAAUGGUGGAGGCAGUGAUCGAUACAACCGUGACAAGUCUGGUCCUUAUGAACGUCCCAGCCGAGAUGGAUACAGAUCUUGAUGGUGGGAGGCUGUCUCUCAGUCUUGAUACCAAGGAUGUUGGAGAACAUUGAUGGUUUGUUAUUUAGUCUGAUUGCGAUCUUGAGGGAGGAAGCAGCAUGCUGUGUUGGGGUAACCAUCUGCUUGAAAUAUUCCUUCACAAACUGUAAAAAGGAAAAGAAAAACGGGCAUUUGGCCUUUGUGUUCCUAUUGGUCUGCAUGGCUUAGUGCUAGUAUUUUGCUGUUUGACCGUGGUUCUGACUUCUGAGUGCUCAGUAGUACUGUUCUGCGGCGUUGAUAUGUUUAUGUGCUCUAUUAAGCGAGUGUAAGAUCUCCAAACCUUUCUAUUCAUUGACUAAAGUGGACCUAUCCUGCUUUGAAGUGCCCUUUGUUGAGUUCUGCCACUCGUGCUCCUGUCGGGAUAUCCAAGUUGAGAAGUUUCAAUUCACCAUGUCAUCUAUAUUUCUUCGGUUGCUGGCAAGCAUCAUAUACUUAACUUUGUUCAACAUCUGUGCCUUGGGACUCCUACAAUUCCAUAACGCUACCUUGAGAACCUGGAGCAGGUGCUGUUUUUUUGGGGGGCUCAUUUGUGCCGUAAUCCAAGUGUGCAUACCUUUUUUUAUUGUAGAAAAUGACCUUUGUAGCUGGAGGUUUAUGAAGAGGGAAGUAAUUCUUUGGCAGAAAAGGAGUUCACAGUUAGGGGAAAUUUUGCCUUUUGUGUAUAGUUGCACAUUGAGGGUUGCGGAACAUAUAGAUUGUUGUUGUAUUCAGCCGUGCUAUUUUGUCAAUGGAAUAUUGGUAGAUAUUGCCUUGAUGUUAGAUGUGAAAAGGGGUUGUGCACAAAAUUCUCGUCCUUUUGUUUUGUUUCUGUACAUACUCCUUAUUUUAGUUUGUUGAAGUUAAUUUAUUUGGCGAAAAAAAUUCAUUGAAGAUGUGUCCUGAAUCGGAUCA